UCCUGUGAAACACAAAGACUGUAGGAAAUUGCUGAUGGUGAGCACCUGGGAGCCCAGGAUGAAAGGAAUGUGUUAUCACAUUGAUGUAUACAUCAGCUGGAGCAACUCACCCUCAAAAUAGAGGACUCAAGUCUUGCACUGGGUACGGCACGCAGUGAAAGUGAACAGGUAUUCGUAAUGGGAUUUCAUCAGACAGAGGAAACAGAGCUGGAAUUGUCCUUGGACAGGCAAACGUUGAAGAAUCAUUUGGUUACUUAGUCUGCAGCUAUUGCUAUGUGAAGAGGUAGGAAGAUUCCACAGUUGUGAAGAUGUAUCCUCCCAGUUUGAGCCUGGGUGAUUGAUGGCUUCCUCUGACAGCCCUAACUACAGCUUUGGAAAGGCUCAGAGGCUGGGAGCUGGUUUGCAUCUAACCCACUGACUCCUAGCAAAAAAUCUGAGGAUAUCCUGUUAAGAAAUAGAGCUUUUCUGAUGUGUCAUAAACCACAGCAAUGAGAACCAGAUAUCUGGUUGGAGUAUUUGGCU
rnacentral:lncRNA from 1 species